UACGUAGGGUGCAAGCGUUAAUCGGAAUUACUGGGCGUAAAGCGUGCGCAGGCGGUGAUGUAAGACAGAUGUGAAAUCCCCGGGCUCAACCUGGGAACUGCAUUUGUGACUGCAUUGCUGGAGUGCGGCAGAGGGGGAUGGAAUUCCGCGUGUAGCAGUGAAAUGCGUAGAUAUGCGGAGGAACACCGAUGGCGAAGGCAAUCCCCUGGGCCUGCACUGACGCUCAUGCACGAAAGCGUGGGGAGCAAACAGGAUUAGAUACCCUGGUAGUCCACGCCCUAAACGAUGUCAACUGGUUGUUGGGAAUUUACUUUCUCAGUAACGAAGCUAACGCGUGAAGUUGACCGCCUGGGGAGUACGGCCGCAAGGUUGAA
rnacentral:rRNA from 1 species